CCCAAGGAUGGGGCCGCGGCCGAUCAGGUUGUUGGUGAGGUAAUGGCUCACCAAGCCUUUAACCGGUUCGGGCCGUGGGAGCGGUAGCCCGGAGAUGGGCACUGAGACAAGGGCCCAGGCCCUACGGGGCGCAGCAGUCGCGAAAACUUCGCAAUAAGCGAAAGCUUGACGGGGCCAUCCCGAGUGCCAUCUGCUGAGGAUGGCUUUUACCCAGUGUAGAUAGCUGGGGGAAUAAGGAGAGGGCAAGUCUGGUGUCAGCCGCCGCGGUAAUACCAGCUCUCCGAGUUGUGGGGACGUUUAUUGAGCCUAAAGCAUCCGUAGCCGGCUGGGCAAGUCCUCUGUUAAAUCCAGCGACAAAUCGUUGGCCUGCGGGGGAUACUGCUCGGCUAGGGGGCGGGAGAGGCCGUCGGUAUUCUUGGGGUAGGGGUGAAAUCCUAUAAUCCCAGGAGGACCACCAGUGGCGAAGGCUGUCGGCUAGAACGCGCCCGACGGUGAGGGAUGAAAGCUGGGGGAGCGAACCGGAUUAGAUACCCGGGUAGUCCCAGCUGUAAACGAU
rnacentral:rRNA from 1 species